rnacentral:rRNA from 1 species
CACAAGCGGUGGAGUAUGUGGUUUAAUUCGAUGCAACGCGAAGAACCUUGCCUGGUCUUGACAUCCCGGAGACCCUUAGGAAACUAGGGGUGCUUCCAUCUGGAAGAAUCUGGAGACAGGUGCUGCAUGGCUGUCGUCAGCUCGUGUCGUGAGAUGUUGGGUUAAGUCCCGCAACGAGCGCAACCCUUGCCUUUAGUUGCCAGCAGUUCGGCUGGGCACUCUAAAGGGACUGCCGGUGUUAAACCGGAGGAAGGUGGGGAUGACGUCAAGUCCUCAUGGCCUUUAUGACCAGGGCUACACACGUACUACAAUGGCCGAUACAAAGGGCAGCGACACUGCGAGGUGAAGCCAAUCCCGUAAAAUCGGUCUCAGUCCGGAUUGGAGUCUGCAACUCGACUCCAUGAAGUUGGAAUCGCUAGUAAUCGUGGAUCAGCAUGCCACGGUGAAUACGUUCCCGGGCCUU